rnacentral:rRNA from 1 species
UACAGAGGGUGCAAACGUUGCUCGGAAUCAUUGGGCGUAAAGCGCGUGUAGGCGGCUUAGCAAGUCGGGCGUGAAAGCCCUCGGCUCAACCGAGGAAGUGCACCCGAAACUGCUGAGCUUGAGUGCCGGAGAGGAUGGCGGAAUUCCCCAAGUAGAGGUGAAAUUCGUAGAUAUGGGGAGGAACACCGGUGGCGAAGGCGGCCAUCUGGACGGUAACUGACGCUGAGACGCGAAAGCGUGGGGAGCAAACAGG